CCUACGGGUGGCAGCAGUAGGGAAUCUUCCUCAAUGGGCGAAACCCUGAUGGAGCAACGCCGCGUGGGUGAUGAAGGUUUUCGGAUCGUAAACUCCUUUUGUUAGAGAAGAUAAUGCCUGUGACUAACGAAUCAGCACCGGCUAACUACGAGCCAGCAGCCGCCGUAAUACGGAGGGUGCAAGCGUUAGGCGGAAUCACUGGGCGUAAAGAGCGCGGAGGCGGGAUGGCAAGUCAGAUGUGAAAUCCUAGGGCUUAACCAUAGUACUGCAUUUGAAACUGGUAUUCUAGAGUGUAGGAGAGGUAGGUGGAAUUCUAGGUGUAGGGGUAAAAUCCGUAGAGAUAAAGAAGAAUACUCAUUGCGAAGGCGACCUGCUAGAACAUAACUGACGCUGAUGCGCGAAAGCGUGGGGAGCAAACAGGAUUAGAUACCCUAGUAGUC
rnacentral:rRNA from 1 species